AGCGAACGCUGGCGGCAGGCUUAACACAUGCAAGUCGAGCGGGCAUCCUUGUGGUGUCAGCGGCAGACGGGUGAGUAACGCGUGGGAACGUGCCCUUCGGUUCGGAAUAACUCAGGGAAACUUGAGCUAAUACCGGAUACGUGCGAGAGCAGAAAGGUUUAUCUGCCGAAGGAUCGGCCCGCGUCUGAUUAGCUAGUUGGUGAGGUUACGGCUCACCAAGGCGACGAUCAGUAGCUGGUCUGAGAGGAUGAUCAGCCACACUGGGACUGAGACACGGCCCAGACUCCUACGGGAGGCAGCAGUGGGGAAUAUUGGACAAUGGGGGCAACCCUGUUCCAGCCAUGCCGCGUGAGUGAUGACGGCCUUAGGGUUGUAAAGCUCUUUUCUCCGGGACGAUAAUGACGGUACCGGAGGAAUAAGCCCCGGCUAACUUCGUG
rnacentral:rRNA from 1 species